UACGUAGGGUGCGAGCGUUGUCCGGAAUUACUGGGCGUAAAGAGCUCGUAGGUGGUUUGUCGCGUCGACUGUGAAAACUCGGGGCUCAACUCCGAGCUUGCAGUCGAUACGGGCAGGCUAGAGUUCGGUAGGGGAGACUGGAAUUCCUGGUGUAGCGGUGAAAUGCGCAGAUAUCAGGAGGAACACCGGUGGCGAAGGCGGGUCUCUGGGCCGAUACUGACGCUGAGGAGCGAAAGCGUGGGGAGCGAACAGG
rnacentral:rRNA from 1 species